rnacentral:rRNA from 1 species
GAUGAACGCUGGCGGCGCGCCUAACACAUGCAAGUCGAACGAUUAAAGCACCUUCGGGUGUGUAUAAAGUGGCGAACGGCUGAGUAACACGUGGGCAACCUGCCCCUCUCAUUGGGAUAGCCACGGGAAACCGUGGAUAAUACCGAAUACUUCGGGACUUCCGCAUGGAAGACUCGAGAAAGCUCCGGCGGAGAGGGAUGGGCCCGCGGCCUGUUAGCUUGUUGGUGGGGUAAUGGCCUUCCAAGGCAAUGAUGGGUAGCUGGGUUGAGAGACCGACCAGCCAGAUUGGGACUGAGACACGGCCCAGACUCCUACGGGAGGCAGCAGUGGGGAAUCUUGCACAAUGGGCGAAAGCCUGAUGCAGCGACGCCGCGUGCGGGAUGAAGGCCUUCGGGUUGUAAACCGCUUUCAGCAGGGACGAGGCGAAAGUGACGGUACCUGCAGAAGAAGCCCCGGCUAACUACGU